rnacentral:rRNA from 1 species
GAUGAACGCUGGCGGCGUGCCUAAUACAUGCAAGUCGAGCGAACGGACGAGAAGCUUGCUUCUCUGAUGUUAGCGGCGGACGGGUGAGUAACACGUGGAUAACCUACCUAUAAGACUGGGAUAACUUCGGGAAACCGGAGCUAAUACCGGAUGAUAUUUUGAACCGCAUGGUUCAAAAGUGAAAGACGGUCUUGCUGUCACUUAUAGAUGGAUCCGCGCUGCAUUAGCUAGUUGGUAAGGUAACGGCUUACCAAGGCAACGAUGCAUAGCCGACCUGAGAGGGUGAUCGGCCACACUGGAACUGAGACACGGUCCAGACUCCUACGGGAGGCAGCAGUAGGGAAUCUUCCGCAAUGGGCGAAAGCCUGACGGAGCAACGCCGCGUGAGUGAUGAAGGUCUUCGGAUCGUAAAACUCUGUUAUUAGGGAAGAACAUAUGUGUAAGUAACUGUGCACAUCUUGACGGUACCUAAUCAGAAAGCCACGGCUAACUACGUGCCAGCAGCCGCGGUAAUACGUAGGUGGCAAGCGUUAUCCGGAAUUAUUGGGCGUAAAGCGCGCGUAGGCGGUUUUUUAAGUCUGAUGUGAAAGCCCACGGCCCAACCGUGGAGGGUCAUUGGAAACUGGAAAACUUGAGUGCAGAAGAGGAAAGUGGAAUUCCAUGUGUAGCGGUGAAAUGCGCAGAGAUAUGGAGGAACACCAGUGGCGAAGGCGACUUUCUGGUCUGUAACUGACGCUGAUGUGCGAAAGCGUGGGGAUCAAACAGGAUUAGAUACCCUGGUAGUCCACGCCGUAAACGAUGAGUGCUAAGUGUUAGGGGGUUUCCGCCCCUUAGUGCUGCAGCUAACGCAUUAAGCACUCCGCCUGGGGAGUACGACCGCAAGGUUGAAACUCAAAGGAAUUGACGGGGACCCGCACAAGCGGUGGAGCAUGUGGUUUAAUUCGAAGCAACGCGAAGAACCUUACCAAAUCUUGACAUCCUUUGACAACUCUAGAGAUAGAGCCUUCCCCUUCGGGGGACAAAGUGACAGGUGGUGCAUGGUUGUCGUCAGCUCGUGUCGUGAGAUGUUGGGUUAAGUCCCGCAACGAGCGCAACCCUUAAGCUUAGUUGCCAUCAUUAAGUUGGGCACUCUAAGUUGACUGCCGGUGACAAACCGGAGGAAGGUGGGGAUGACGUCAAAUCAUCAUGCCCCUUAUGAUUUGGGCUACACACGUGCUACAAUGGACAAUACAAAGGGCAGCGAAACCGCGAGGUCAAGCAAAUCCCAUAAAGUUGUUCUCAGUUCGGAUUGUAGUCUGCAACUCGACUACAUGAAGCUGGAAUCGCUAGUAAUCGUAGAUCAGCAUGCUACGGUGAAUACGUUCCCGGGUCU